rnacentral:rRNA from 1 species
UGAGGAACAUGACCUUCGGCGGGGGAUAGCCGGCCCAACGGCCGGGUAAUACCGCGUACGACCACUUUGGGACAUCCCUGGGUGGUGAAAGCAGCAAUGCGCCGAUGGAGUGCCUCGCGGCCUAUCAGCUAGUUGGUGAGGUAACGGCUCACCAAGGCGACGACGGGUAGCUGGUCUGAGAGGAUGGCCAGCCACAUUGGGACUGAGACACGGUCCAGACUCCUACGGGAGCAG